UACAGAGGUCUCAAGCGUUGUUCGGAUUCAUUGGGCGUAAAGGGUGCGUAGGUGGCGCGCUAAGUCAGGGGUGAAAUUUCGGAGCUUAACUCCGAAACUGCAUUUGAUACUGGCAUGCUUGAGGACUGGAGAGGAGACUGGAAUUCACGGUGUAGCAGUGAAAUGCGUAGAGAUCGUGAGGAAGACCAGUGGCGAAGGCGGGUCUCUGGACAGUUCCUGACACUGAGGCACGAAGGCCAGGGGAGCAAACAGG
rnacentral:rRNA from 1 species